CUGUAGCUCAGCCGGAUAGAGCAACGGCCUUCUAAGCCGUGGGUCGGGGGUUCGAAUCCCUUCAGG
rnacentral:tRNA from 1 species